AUCGUGUCCCAUCAGCAGAGGCCGGGCAGGGUGCUGCAUAGCCUAGCUACUCCGCCACCUUCGGUGCAAGGUGCAACGAAAAGCAGAGAAGGGCCAAGGAGGAAGAGGCAACAGAAUUUUUCGAACAGAAAACAAGAAAAACGAAAGAAAAAGACUGGAAAGAAUGAUGGCAAAAGGAGCAAAAAGCUGGAGAUGUUUUCCAAAGGAUAAGGGAAGGCAUCAAUAUACUUGUUUUGCUAUAAGGUUUGGAGAAGAAAAGAAAAAGAAAAUCGAUAGGAAACAGCA